CCUACGGGUGGCUGCAGUCGAGAAUCAUUCACAAUGGGGGAAACCCUGAUGGUGCGACGCCGCGUGGGGGAAUGAAGGUCUUCGGAUUGUAAACCCCUGUCAUGUGGGAGCAAAUUAAAAAGAUAGUACCACAAGAGGAAGAGACGGCUAACUCGGUGCCAGCAGCCGCGGUAAUACAGAGGUCUCAAGCGUUGUUCGGAAUCACUGGGCGUAAAGCGUGCGUAGGCUGUUUCGUAAGUCGUGUGUGAAAUGCGCGGGCUCAACCCGCGAACGGCACAUGAAACUGGGAGACUAGAGUAAGGGAGGGGGAACCGGAAUGCUCGGUGUAGCAGUGAAAUGCGUAGAUAUCGAGAGGAACACUCGUGGCGAAGGCGGGUUCCUGGACAUUAACUGACGCUGAGGCACGAAGGCCAGGGGAGCGAAAGGGAUUAGAUACCCGAGUAGUC
rnacentral:rRNA from 1 species